CGUUUUCAUCACAAAGUGUUUUCCCGGUCAAACACAGAAGACACAAACACAGCAGAUCCAGUAGACGCUCCAUAGUUGUCGAUGAAUUAUUGGAAUUAAGAGGGAG